UAUGAAGAUGUUUGCAUACUGAAGAAGAGUCCUUGGACAUAAUUAAACCCCCUCGGUGCCCACUACACAGACUAAUGAAAUUGAAGUAUCCAAAUGAAGACCCUAGCAGAUACAGGCGUUGCCAGCAAUCAGCAGGUGAUCCAGAAGACUCGUGGGAAUCUAUAUGAAGGUGCAUCAUUGAAGACAGCCCAGCAGAUGUUAAAGUGUUGGAAGAUAAAGUUCUUCAGGACCUUAGCAGUUUAUACUAUGCAAAACCAUGUUGCUGGGACUGAUAUAUGGACUGAACUUGAGCAACCCUCCUGAACUCAGGUACACAUUUGGAGUACUGAAGAAGUUAUUUCUGGAGCCAGUUCCUGUUCCUGGAAUAAGGUUUGAUUGGUUACCCAUGAAUGCCAAUUAGAAAAUGACAGUAGUUUGAUAUUUCUGCUAUUUUGUGUAAUUUUGUAAUGUGGUUUCAACUGUAUUCAACUGUGUGUAAUUAUUUAUUGCUUUAUACACUUUGAUCAUUUGUGACAUCUUGUCUUUUGACUCAUUACAAGACAAAUAAAUCAAAAAUGCUUUGUUGAAGGGAGUAACUUUAAAUAGAAAACAUUUAAAGUAACUAGAACUAAUUGGAUGGAACCACUGUCCAUAAUUGAAUUAAGUUAGUUUAAAGAGUCAUUAAAACAAGUAAAGCAUACCUGAUAUUUAAGUGUUUGCUGGUUCUUUCCAAGGGUUCAAAAAAAAAAAAAUUAAGCAGCAGUCAAGGAGCUUUUUUUUACCGUGAAAUAUCAGUGUAGUUGAACAUCUGAUGUUGUACGGAAGCAUGACAUGUAAAUGGAGAACAAAAACUGUAAUGUGAACAAGAAUUCUGAAGGGUCAGAUGUGUUCUGCCGGUUCUGCAAACAUACUGGCAAAAUGAGGUAAUAAAAUCCUAUCUUUAUUAUCUUUUGAAAAUAAAGUAUAUCGUUACGUUGGCAGAGUUUACAAAUGGGUAACAAGGACAUGUAUCCUGCAGAAGAUAAAUACCUGUGUGUGUAUUUUUGUAUUGCUUUAUCACAGGUGCUCAAGUUAGAUGCUCAUCUGAUGUUGUGUUGCUGGUAAGUUGUGUUAAUGUCUGUCUUUUAGAGAUUUUUUCCCACAUUUUCCUGAUAUGAAUCCCAUGCAUUAGGUGUGUUAUAUGUUUUUAUACUUAUAAAAGUCUCAAAGUGUUUUCUGAAACAUAUAAUUGCAGGUGUUGGUUUAAUUUAAAUGAAUUAAUGAAAAUAAAUUUAAAAAUGAAUUAGGAUUGUUUAAAGCAGUGGUUCUCAAAGUUUCAGGAUCCCUCUAAUGGUUAUGCAGGGGAAUCACUAAAUUAAAUAAUAAUUAAUGUUAAUACAUUUUAAUUGAAUCUUUGAGUAAGGUUUUUGUUUUUUUGUUUUUUUACAUGUAAGUACAGUACAUUUAUGUAACUUGUUAUAACACAUUUUAAUUUAAAAUGUAUAUUUUCAUUUACCGG
rnacentral:lncRNA from 1 species